rnacentral:snRNA from 1 species
UGCUUCGGCAGUAUACUAAAAUUGGAAUGGUACAAAGAAGAUUAGCAUGGCCCCUGCACACAGAGGACACACAAGUUCAUGAAGCAUUCCACAUUUUU